rnacentral:rRNA from 1 species
GUUUCCGUAGGUGAACCUGCUGCUGGAUCAUUACACAAACGCCAAAAAUGGUCUCUAUUUUACGCAUGUGUUGCACAGAGCACUCACUCUCAUAAGCCUUCUUGGGAGUUGGGGAGUGCGAGUCAUUUGUGUGUCAGUCAAGCAUAGAACGGCACAAACGGCGCCUAUCCGCUCAGCCAUAUGGAGAAAAUAUUAUGGUUCCGUCAUCACCAUGUGUUGCCUUGCAUCUGGUGUUGGUGGCUUUUGCGAUGGAGCGGUCAAGUAAACGGCUAACGCUGGUGUCUGUGUGUUGCUGAGCAGUCGUAUUCGUCCGUGGCUGUGAUGAGGCAAUGCGGUAGGGUCUGCACGUAUGCCUUCUCGUGUAUGGCUUAAGACUUAAUGAGCCCAUUCAGUGUGGGGACGCCAGCAAAACCUUUUUUUCCACAUUUUUUUUAUGCUAUGAAAGCAAACAAACGAAAAAUUCUAGUCUUAUCGGUGGAUCACUCGGCUCGUAGGUCGAUGAAGAACGCAGCUAACUGCGAUAAAUAGUGUGAACUGCAGAAACCUUGAACACAAAAGCUUCGAAUGCACAUUGCACCAUGGGAGUCUUAUCCCUUGGUAUGCCUGGUUCAGGGUCGUAAACCCUAAAACGCAUAGAUAUGCGUGAAAAAUGAUAAGAUCACUCGAUUGACACCCACAGAGUGUUCUUGUAACUCGAAAAUGUGUCGUGUAAUUGGCGUGUUGUGAGGUGGACACCUCGGCUUUGUAUGUGGACAUACAAACCAUAGCUAGGGUGGACAUCGGUGGGGACAUCUCGAAUCACUUCAGGCCAGUGUGCUGUGAAUAAGCGCACGACAUAAAUUUGCGUGUGUAUACAUCACAAAGUCCAAUGCCUUCUGGACUACGUGUUCUCAAGUGUGUGUACACCCAAAAAUCAAUUCGCAUUUUCGACCUGAACUCAGACAUGACUACCCGCUGAACUUAAGCAUAU